UACGUAGGUGGCAAGCGUUGUCCGGAAUUAUUGGGCGUAAAGCGCGCGAAGGCGGUCCUUUAAGUCUGAUGUGAAAGCCCACGGCUCAACCGUGGAGGGUCAUUGGAAACUGGGGGACUUGAGUGCAGAAGAGGAAAGCGGAACUCCACGUGUAGCGGUGAAAUGCGUAGAGAUGUGGAGGAACACCAGUGGCGAAGGCGGCUUUCUGGUCUGUAACUGACGCUGAGGCGCGAAAGCGUGGGGAGCAAACAGG
rnacentral:rRNA from 1 species